rnacentral:hammerhead_ribozyme from 1 species
AUUCAGCUGAUGAGUCCCAAAUAGGACGAAACACGUGCUCUAGAU